ACGUAUGGUGCAAGCGUUAUCCGGAUUUACUGGGUAUAAAGGGAGCGUAGACGGAGUGGCAAGUCUGAUGUGAAAACCCGGGGCUCAACCCCGGGACUGCAUUGGAAACUGUCAAUCUAGAGUACCGGAGAGGUAAGCGGAAUUCCUAGUGUAGCGGUGAAAUGCGUAGAUAUUAGGAGGAACACCAGUGGCGAAGGCGGCUUACUGGACGGUAACUGACGUUGAGGCUCGAAAGCGUGGGGAGCAAACAG
rnacentral:rRNA from 1 species